UACGUAGGGGGCAAGCGUUGUCCGGAUUUAUUGGGCGUAAAGCGCUCGCAGGUGGUUCGUCGCGUCGUGCGUGAAAGACCCCGGCUCAACUGGGGGGCGUCGUGCGAAACGGGCGGACUGGAGGCCAGUAGGGGGAUGCGGAAUUCCGGGUGUAGUGGUGGAAUGCGUAGAGAUCCGGAGGAACACCAGCGGCGAAGGCGGCAUCCUGGACUGGUCCUGACACUCAUGAGCGAAAGCGUGGGGAGCGAACGAGG
rnacentral:rRNA from 1 species